UACGAAGGGGGCUAGCGUUGCUCGGAAUGACUGGGCGUAAAGGGCGCGUAGGCGGCUUUGUAAGUUAGAGGUGAAAGCCCAGGGCUUAACCCUGGAAUUGCCUUUAAGACUGCAUCGCUAGAAUCGUGGAGAGGUGAGUGGAAUUCCGAGUGUAGAGGUGAAAUUCGUAGAUAUUCGGAAGAACACCAGUGGCGAAGGCGACUCACUGGACACGUAUUGACGCUGAGGUGCGAAAGCGUGGGGAGCAAACAGG
rnacentral:rRNA from 1 species